rnacentral:rRNA from 1 species
UAAGGAAUAUUGGUCAAUGGACGCAAGUCUGAACCAGCCAUGCCGCGUGAAGGAUGAAGGUCCUCUGGAUUGUAAACUUCUUUUAUCUGGGACGAAAACGGGAUUUUUAUCUCAAUUGACGGUACCAGAGGAAUAAGCACCGGCUAACUCCGUGCCAGCAGCCGCGGUAAUACGGAGGGUGCGAGCGUUAUCCGGAUUUACUGGGUUUAAAGGGUGCGUAGGUGGGCCUAUAAGUCAGUGGUGAAAUCUCCGAGCUUAACUUGGAAACUGCCGUUGAUACUAUAGGUCUUGAAUUAUCUGGAGGUAAGCGGAAUAUGUCAUGUAGCGGUUAAAUGCUUAGAUAUGACAUAGAACACCAAUUGCGAAGGCAGCUUACUACAUAUAAAUUGACUCUGAGGCACGAAAGCGUGGGGAUCAAACA